rnacentral:lncRNA from 1 species
AUUUUGGUUUGUAUUUUGUAGGUGUCCAUCUCUUCACAGUCAUGGCUGAUCUUGUCAUCCACUUUUGGGAGAUUCUCCUGUAUCUGGGCAGGGUAUGCCUUCUCUACAUCAGGAUCUCAUUCCCAUCACCCAGAAUGCAGUGCUGUGGCACGAUCACAGCUCUCUGCAGCCUCAAUUUCCCAGGCUCAAGCAAUUCUCCCACCUCAGCCUCCCGAGAAGCUGGAACUACAGGAAUGUGCCACCGCAUCGGGCUAAUGUUUUGUAUUUUUGGUAGAGACAGGGUUUAGCCAUGUUGCCCAGGCUGGUCUCGAAUUCUUGGGCUCAAGCAAUCCUCUCACCUCAGCCUCCUAAAGUGCUUGGACUAGAGGUGCAAAUCACCAUGCCUGACCCUUUAUCUCUACUUUUGGCCAGAAGCAAUCCAGUUAACACUCUAUCAUAUAUUAUUCCUCCUACUGUUUUCUCCUCUCUAAAUUCUUCAGCUUUGGCUGUUUGCCCAUUAGUCACUGCCUGGGAGUUUUCAACUUUUAAAAUUUGUGACAACAUUGUUAGGUCAUUAAGAUGGGUCCUCAUCCGAUGUAACUGGCGUUCUUACAAGAAGCAGGGAAAUGACGUGGCGGAGACACAGGAGGGGGAAAUACCGCGUGAUGAUGGAGUUAAAGACAGGAGUUAUGCAGCUGCAAGCCAAGAACACCAAGGGCUGCUGGUGACAGCAAGCGAGGAGGGAGCCUGGCCCUGCUGGCAUCUUGAUUCAGACUUCCAGCCCCUACCACUCUGAGAGAAUAAAUUCCUGUUGUUUUAAGCCACCCAGUUUAGGGUGCUUUGUUGCAGCCGCCUUAAGAAAGGAAUACAUCGUAUCAUUCCCAGAAACUGCUUGAGUCCCAGGGUUUGAGACUGGAAAGUGCUGAGCCUCCCUCACUACCAGAUGCCACCUUGGCGAGGGUGAGUAGGUAGGAAAGGCUGAGCAGUGACCCCACAUUCAUGUGCUAUGGCACAUUUGAGAACAUACCAAACAGGAAAUGAAACUGAUGUGAAACAGAAAUUUCCGUCAUAAAAACAAUUUGCAUGAAACGUUCACUGUACUAAAAAAGUAGAUGAUUUAGGACAAUUUUAACUUUUACCCUGAAAAUAAAU